AAGUCGUAACAAGGUUUCCGUAGGUGAACCUGCGGAAGGAUCAUUAUCGUAGGGCUUUUUGUCCUGUCGAGAUAGCGUCCUUGCCUAUUUUUUUGGAGCACCGUUCGUUUCCUCAGCAGGCUUGCCUGCUACUGGGGGACCCCUCAAACUCUUUUGUAAAAUACAGUAAUCGUCUGAAAAAAUCAAACAAAAAAAGUCAAAAG
rnacentral:misc_RNA from 1 species